rnacentral:rRNA from 1 species
CAGCAUGAACUUAGCUUGCUAAGUUUGAUGGCGACCGGCGCACGGGUGAGUAACACGUAUCCAACCUUCCGUUUACUCAGGGAUAGCCUUUCGAAAGAAAGAUUAAUACCUGAUAGUAUGGUGAGAUUGCAUGAUAGCACCAUUAAAGAUUUAUUGGUAAACGAUGGGGAUGCGUUCCAUUAGGUAGUAGGCGGGGUAACGGCCCACCAAGCCGACGAUCGGUAGCCGACCUGAGAGGGUGAUCGGCCACAUUGGGACUGAGACACGGCCCAAACUCC